rnacentral:rRNA from 1 species
GAGGAGGAGGUUUUUGGAUUGUAAACCUCUUUUCUCAGGGAAGAAUUUUGACGGUACCUGAGGAAUAAGCACCGGCUAACUCCGUGCCAGCAGCCGCGGUAAUACGGGGGAUGCAAGCGUUAUCCGGAAUUAUUGGGCGUAAAGAGUCCGUAGGUGGUCAUGCAAGUCUGCUGUCAAAGCCCACAGCUUAACUGUGGAUCGGCGGUGGAAACUGCAUGACUUGAGUACGGAAAAACACCGGUGGCGAAAGCGCUCUACUGGACCGUAACUGACACUGAGGGACGAAAGCCAAGGUAGCGAAAGGGAUUAAAUA